rnacentral:rRNA from 1 species
GAUGAACGCUGGCGGCGUGCCUAAUACAUGCAAGUCGAGCGAACGGAUGAGAAGCUUGCUUCUCUGAUGUUAGCGGCGGACGGGUGAGUAACACGUGGAUAACCUACCUAUAAGACUGGGAUAACUUCGGGAAACCGGAGCUAAUACCGGAUAAUAUUUUGAACCGCAUGGUUCAAAAGUGAAAGACGGUCUUGCUGUCACUUAUAGAUGGAUCCGCGCUGCAUUAGCUAGUUGGUAAGGUAACGGCUUACCAAGGCAACGAUGCAUAGCCGACCUGAGAGGGUGAUCGGCCACACUGGAACUGAGACACGGUCCAGACUCCUACGGGAGGCAGCAGUAGGGAAUCUUCCGCAAUGGGCGAAAGCCUGACGGAGCAACGCCGCGUGAGUGAUGAAGGUCUUCGGAUCGUAAAACUCUGUUAUUAGGGAAGAACAUAUGUGUAAGUAGCUGUGCACAUCUUGACGGUACCUAAUCAGAAAGCCACGGCUAACUACGUG